CUCUUGACCAACUCCAUAGUUCAAGAACUGAGUUACCGGCAUCUUUGAAACAGUCCUUCAAGGCUCCUCCAUCUUCCCUAAAAUGCAUCAAGAAUCUCAGAACUCCACUCCUCUAGGCCUUCUAAAUGGAGAAAUGAGUCUGGUGGGGAGGCAAACAAAGGUGAUGUGGCACUUCCAGAAUGCACCUGUCCUCUUCUAAAAACAAGAAUGAUGGUCUUAGGUUUUGGCCCAACGAUGUUACGAAGAGAAUGGUAACUUCUGAACAAAAGUGAAAAUGUUGGCUGAGGCACCCUUGCUGCUCAUCUGGUGAAAGAAUGCAAGUAUAAAGGGUUGCCAGGAAACGGUCUUUGCCUGAAGAUGAGACAACUGGUGGUGGUGGUGGUUCAGCCCCCCCUUGCAAGUGCACUACUGUUCAUGGGGUCAUCCAAGGGAUGGCAGAGACAACUAGGGCCAGACGAAGCUUGCUUUCACCCUAGAAGAGAAGAUCUCUCAGAGUUGGAGAUGGCAAUUUCCAGUCCUAAGAAAUGGAUUCUAACCUGUAGAUCCUACCCGCUCUCGAGGACUCUUGAAGUGCCCUGGUUCUGGCAGUGGGAAGAAGACCCUGUCCACACUAGUCCCCCUCAGUUGCACAGGGGGGGACCCCAGACAAGUUAGUGACUUAACUUCUGUACUGUUGAACAAGUGUGGGAGGGUUCCUCAGAGUUGUGGGAGGGGAACUACUAAAGCACAAAGCUACUUCAUUCUGUGUCUUCCAACUGUUUACCUCAAUCUGGCCAUCAGAGCAAUUCUGACAGUGUGGGUGGAAAAAAAAAUGGUGAAGCAAAGUUAAGCUUUGGUGGUUCUGAUGUUCUUCAGUAGCCUGAUUUUGAAGCACAUCAGCAUCUACAUGGCAUACCUUUAUAACCAGGUUCUCUACCCGGGCAGCAAUAUCUUGCCACAGUGCAGCAGCCCAGAUGGGUUUGCCCCUGCGCUGGCAGUUGUUCUGCUUCCAUUGCUGUAACCACCCCCACAGGGCAUUUGCUACCAUCCAUGAAUCAGUAUAGAGAUAGAGAACUGGCCACUUUU
rnacentral:lncRNA from 1 species